GACGUAGGGUGCAAGCGUUGUCCGGAUUUACUGGGCGUAAAGAGCGCGUAGGCGGCUCGUUAAGUGAGAAGUGAAAGCUGUGGGCUCAACCCACAAACCGCUUUUCAUACUGGCGAGCUGGAGUGAUGCAGAGGUGGAUAGAAUUCCCGGUGUAGCGGUGAAAUGCGUUGAUAUCGGGAGGAACACCAGUGGCGAAGGCGGCUUUCUGGUCUGCUCUUGACGCUGAGGCGCGAAAGCUAGGGUAGCAAACGGG
rnacentral:rRNA from 1 species